AUUGAACGCUGGCGGCAGGCCUAACACAUGCAAGUCGAACGAGUGGCGGACGGGUGAGUAAUGUCUGGGAAACUGCCCGAUGGCGGGGGAUAACUACUGGAAACGGUAGCUAAUACCGCAUACCAUUGGAUGUGCCCAGAUGGGAUUAGCUAGUAGGUGGGGUAACGGCUCACCUAGGCGACGAUCCCUAGCUGGUGUGAGAGGCUGAUCAGGCACACUGGAACUGAGACACGGUCCAGACUCCUACGGGAGGCAGCAGUGGGGAAUAUUGGACAAUGGGCGAAAGCCUGAUCCAGCCAUGCAGCGUGUGUGAAGAAGGUCUUCGGAUUGUAAAGCACUUUAAGUUGUGAGGCGUUACCAACAGAAUAAGCACCGGCUAACUUCGUGCCAGCAGCCGCGGUAAUUC
rnacentral:rRNA from 1 species